AAAAAAUUUAAUUUAUAUUUAUUAAUUUAUUUUAUAAAUAAUAAUAUUAAUAAAGUUUUAAAAAUAAUUUAUUUUAAAUUUAAAUAAUUAAUAAAUAAUUAAUUAAUGUUUUUAAUAAUUAAAAUUAUACAAAUAAUAAAUAGUAAUUUAUAAUAAUAAUAAUAAAAUUAGUGCCAGCAAUUGCGGUUACACUAAUAUUAUAAGUAAAUUUAUAUUUUAAUUAAUAAAUAAAUGUUUUAUUGAAUUUUAAUAUAAAAGUUAUUUUAUAUAGUGAAAUAUUUAAAAUGAUAGUAUGAUUAAGUGUAAGUUUAAAUAAGUUAAUAAAGUUAGAAAAAAAAUUAGGAUUAGAUACCCUAUUAUUAAAAGUAAAAAAAUUGAGUUAAUAAGGAAUUAAAUGUAAAUCAUUAAAUUUAAAAAAUUUGGCGGUAUUUUAAAUAGUUAGAGGAAUUUGUUAAUUAAAUGAUAGUCCACGAGUGGGGGGUCCUAAUAAAAUUUUUAUGUAUUGUUGUAUAAAAAUUAUUUUAUAAGAAUUUAAUGAUUGGAAUAUUUAAAUUAAUUUGAAUUCAAAUCAAAAUGUAGAAUUGUUAGGGUUAAUAAUGAGUUACAGUUUAAUGUAGUAUUGGAGUUAUUUUUUUAAAUAGGAUAAUGAGAUAGGAUUUAAAAGUAAAUUUAAAUAAAUUUUUAUGUUGAAAAAUAAAUUAAAAUAUGUACAAAUUGCCCGUCAUUUUCAUGAAUAAAUAAUUGAAAGAAGUCGUAACAAAGUAAAUGUACAGGAAUGUGUAUUUAGGUUAAU
rnacentral:ncRNA from 1 species